rnacentral:rRNA from 1 species
GACAGAGGGGGCAAGCGUUGCUCGGAAUUACUGGGCGUAAAGGGCGCGUAGACGGGAUGGCAAGUCGGUCGUGAAAUCCCUCGGCUCAACCGAGGAACGUCGAUCGAUACUGCUGUUCUUGAGGAUUGCAGAGGAGACUGGAAUUCCCGGUGUAGCGGUGAAAUGUGUAGAGAUCGGGAGGAACACCGGUGGCGAAGGCGGGUCUCUGGGCAAUUCCUGACGCUGAGGCACGAAGGCCAGGGGAGCAAACGGG